rnacentral:rRNA from 1 species
CAGCCGUAAACUAUGCGCGUUAGGUGUGCUGGUGACCACGUGUCACCGGGGUGCCGAAGGGAAACCGUGAAACGUGCCGCCUGGGAAGUACGGUCGCAAGGCUGAAACUUAAAGGAAUUGGCGGGGGAGCACCACAACAGGUGGAGCCUGCGGUUUAAUUGGACUCAACGCCGGAAAUCUCACCGGAUAGGACAGACAAAUGAUAGUCGGGCUGAAGACUCUACUUGAUGAUCUGAGAGGUGGUGCAUGGCGUCAGUGACU